rnacentral:rRNA from 1 species
UACGUAGGGUGCAAGCGUUGUCCGGAAUUAUUGGGCGUAAAGGGCUCGUAGGCGGUCUGUCGCGUCGGGAGUGAAAACCCGGGGCUCAACCCCGGGCCUGCAUUCGAUACGGGCAGACUAGAGUUCGGUAGGGGAGUCUGGAAUUCCUGGUGUAGCGGUGAAAUGCGCAGAUAUCGGGAGGAACACCUAUGGCGAAGGCAGCUCGCUGGGACGUUACUGACGCUGAGACGCGAAAGCGUGGGGAGCAAACAGG